UUUUUUUGUCAUAACGUAAUUACAGUGUAAUUACAAGCGUGCUGUUUGGUUGCACAAGGGUAAUUACACAGUCAGUUUAAUUUAAAAAUAAAAUUUAAUUAUAAAAAAUUUAAAAUUAAUAUUUAAAAAAUAUUGCCUUUAUAAAUGAUAUUAAAUCAGUUAUUUAAUAACACAUUGUUUCUUGAAAAUAUAUUAAUUAAUAAUCAUAUAUUUGUAACUAAUAUUGUAAAAAAUAAUUGAUAUAUAUUUUUCAAAUUAAUAUUUAAUUUUAAUUAAUUAUAAAACUUAAAAGAAGACUUUUUUUGUGAGAACGUCAUGGAUUGGAUGUUUGACAAAAAAAUAAUAUUAAUAAAUAUAAUGCCAUAACAUUAUUCAAAUGUUUGACAUAAAAAAUCCAUCAAAGGUAAGUGAAAAAUAAACAACAUGCAAUGUGAAAGCAAAUAACUUAAAAUUGAAAAUAUAACCUAAAUUCAAAAUUCAAAAGAAAAAGUUCAACAUAAUACUCUUAUGUCAAAUUUCCAACAUUACAUAAGUAAGUUCCAACGUAACUUAAGAAAAUAAUUCAAAAGAAAGGAAAAAUAUAAAUCUAUAACCUCAUUCACAAUGAAAUUCUACUUUAAUAACGUCACUCGUUAUAUGUCAAGUUUGUUAAUGAUUCAUUCUUUCCAAUAUUAAGAGGUGUAGUUUCAAAUAUUAGAAUAAUAACACGGUUAUGCUAAAUGAAUAAAAUAAAAAAAUACGAGCAAUUACAUGAAACCACAAGAAGUAAAGGUUGGGAAUGAGAAGAAAGAAAACAAAAAAUAAAUAAUAUAAAAAGAAAAAUACAUUUUAAAAAAUAAAAA